AAAGAGGUAGCUCAAGGGUAGAGCAAGGCAGUUUAGUUGUCGUGUGGGUUCGAAUCCCACUUCCAUUU
rnacentral:tRNA from 1 species